rnacentral:rRNA from 1 species
GAUGAACGCUGGCGGCGUGCCUAACACAUGCAAGUCGAACGGAAAGGCCUCUUUCGGGGCGUACUCGUGUGGCGAACGGGUGAGUAACACCUGAGUAACCUGCCCUUGACUUUGGGAUAACUCCAGGAAAGUGGGGCUAAUACAUGCUAGGUGCUCCUGCUGCAUGGUGGGGGCAGGAAAGUUCCGGGGGGUGGGGGUCGAUUCGCGGGUUAUCAGCUAGUUGGUGGGGUAGUAGCUUACCAAGGCGUUGAUGGGUAGCCGGCCCGAGAGGGUGACCCGACACAGUGGGGCUGAGACGCGGCACAGAGUCCUACGGGCGGCCGAAGUUGGGAAGGGUGGACGAUGGGGGGAAGCCUGAUCAAGCGAUGCCGGGUGGAUGAUGAAGGGCCUUGGGUUGUAUAACGGUCUUCUGAGGGAAAAACACGUUCGCUCAUAACGAAGCUUUGUGUGACGGUAGUGGAUAAAGAAGCACCGGCUAACUACGUG